ensembl:snoRNA SNORA69 small nucleolar RNA, H/ACA box 69
AAAGCAGGUCGCAAUUACAGUGCUUCAUUCUCUCUAUGGGAGUACUGUCAUUAAACUGCUGAGAGCAACUGUUUGCAUUGCUUUAGAGUCAUUGUUCCUUGUCACUCUAUGGACAUGGAUGCUC